AUAGCACACUCGGCGCACCCCUGGAGUGACUGGACAAACAAAUUAAGCAGCAAAAAUGGAGGCCACCACCCUGCGGAAGCGGCCGCUCUCGAUCAAGACGGCCGCCGGACGCGAAGGGCGGACGGCGGCGGAAGCAGAGCUGGGGGAGCCGGUCAGCCCCUCCGCGAGGCUCGUGGAGGACUUCUACAUCAUCGUCCUCAUGGGCGCCUCCACGCCCCUCAACCUCCCCGCCCUCCGCGCCGGCAUCGAGGCCCAGCUCGCACGCUACCCGCACUUCCGCAGCAUCCAGGUAACGGACAAGGACGGCGAGCUGCGGUGGGCGCCGACGACGGUGAACGUGGAAAACCACCUGAUCCGCCCGACGCUGGACCCGGCCGCCGUGCCGGCCAACCCGGACAAGGCCGUGGAGGACUACGUGGCGUCCCUGUCGACGCUGCCCAUGGACCGGUCCCAGCCGCUGUGGGAGUUCCACCUCUUCGACUUCCCGACCUCCGAGGCGACCUCCACCGCCGCGAUCCGCGUGCACCACUCCCUCGGGGACGGCAUGUCUCUGCUCACGCUCCUCAUGGCCUGCACGCGCAGCGCCGCCGACCCGACCAGGCUGCCGGCCAUGCCGCCGCUGCCAUCGCGUACGGGCGCCAUCUACCAGCGACCGCGCCCUUCGGCGGGCGUCCUGGCGUACCUCCUUUGGGUCUGGUCCUUCGUCGUGCUCGCCUGGCACACCGUGGUGGACGUCGUCGGCUUCUUCGCGACCAUACUGUUCUUGAAGGAUCCGCACACGCUGUUCAAGCGGGUGAACCACGCGGAGACGCAGCGCAAGCGCAUCGUGCACCAGAGGCUUAGCCUCAACGACGUCAAGUUCGUCAAGAACGCCAUGAAAUGCACAGUUAACGAUGUGUUGAUUGGAGUCACAUACGCUGCCCUGUCGCGCUAUCACUUCCGAAAGUCAGGUGGUGAAACCGACACUCGCAAAGAGAUACGCGUGCGCUCAAUGCUUCUCGUCAACUUAAGGCCGACCACAAGCCUACACGCAUGUGUUGAUAUGAUAAAGUCGGGCAAAGAAAGCCACGUGAAAUGGGGAAAUGAACUUGGGUUCAUCAUCCUUCCGUUCUUCAUCGGCAUGCACAGCGACCCGCUCGACUACGUUCGCAAGGGGAAGAAGGUUGUGGACAGGAAGAAGAGCUCACUGGAGGUGGUAUUCACACAUGUCGCCGCAGAAGUGAUCUUCAAAGUGUUUGGACUGAAGGCAGCUUCGGCUAUCUUCCAUCGUAUGAUCUCCCAUACCACCAUAUCGUUCGCCAACAUGACUGGCCCGGUUGAACAGGUGGAGUUUUGUGGGCAUCCAAUCGUCUUCAUCGCCCCUAGCGGCUAUGGACCGCCAGAAGCCCUAACCGUGAAUUAUCAAAGCUAUGUCAACACCAUCAUGAUAAAUCUAGCACUGGAUGAGGGACACUUUCCUGACUAUGAUGAACUUUUGGAUGACUUUGUUGAAUCCCUUGAGGAUAUUAAGGAUGCAGCUUCACGCCUUGGAAUGCAUCAUGGGAAGGCCUAAAGCUAUUUGCAUCAGUGCAACAUAUUCAUGAUUUCGCUACUGUGCCAUUCAAUAUUACUGAUGGACUAUACUCCCUUGGUCCAGAACUGUAAGGUGCAUAAUUAAUUAAUUAUGCUUGCAGUCAACGUUUUAGAACAUUGACCACCAGUACAUGUAAAAGUACAUGGAAUGAGUAUGCACGAAUAAUAUCAUUGUAUUUGUCUUGCGAAAUUCAUUUCUGCUACAUAUCUUUUCACAUUUUAACACACAUAUUACUAUAAAAAAUUAUAGUCAAAACUGUGCAUUCGAGACUCUGAAAAGUCACCUGUCUUGCAUUUCCAACGAAGGGAGUAUGUUUGUGGCAACUAAACCUAGA
rnacentral:rRNA from 1 species